GUCACUGUGGUGCAGUGGUUUAAGCAUUAGACUUUGACUCCAGAGAUCAGGGUUCAAAUUCCUGCUGGGCCA